rnacentral:tRNA from 1 species
GCACGGGUGGCGCAAUGGAUAGCGCAGCAACACCGAAGCUGCCGGGUGCGGGUUCAAGUCCCGCCCCGUGCA